ensembl:lncRNA
CUUUUUAGGAUUCAGCAGUGUAGUGGCUGCAGCAGGUGAUCCUCAUCAUUAAUCAUCAUCAGCCUGGAGCAGGAGCAGGUGGUCUCUGCCAAUCAAGUCCCUCUCUCAACACAAUAUAGUCUGACGCCGUUCACCUCUCUGUGCCGGAUCGUGACACCACCAUUCUGGUUCCACCUGUUCCUGCUGGUUCCCACGGGCUCCAUCGUCAGCUCCAGUUCUGGUGCCACUCAGCGUCCUGGAAUUCACUCACCUGUGUUGUUUCUACCUCAUGGUGUCCUUCCACACCGUCCUGCUGCAGCAUCUCGACAACCACCACCUGGACACCGGCCUGCCAGCCCAGAACAACGCACCUCCACAGUUCGUUACCUAGUCCGAGCAUCUCGUAGCAGUUUUUGUGAGUUAAAUUCAAGUUUCGCAGUUUCGCGUACUCGUUAGUUUCCUGGCUUAGUUCCUAGUUCUUGUAACCGAGUGAAUUUGAGUUAUCUUUCUUGCCUGGGUGUUACCCAACGUGGGUUAGAAUUUUGUAGUGAGUCCUCCUCGCCAAUAGUAGUCGCCAUAGGUUGGCAAUCUGUUUUCGUUGACGUACUUCCUGUUUUAGUUCUCCGUUACGAUUUGUAAUGCCUCUAAGUUUUUGCAAAUAAACCCCUUAUUGCAUUCAGAACUCGUCUGUUCAUUUCCUGCACUUGAGCCAUUCAGAACCCGUAACAGUGUCAGAUUUUUGAAUUUUAUACGAUCAGCAACUGGAAGCCAGUGAAGCGAUCUGAACAGUGGGGUGGCACAAGCUGUUUGUGGCUGGUUGGAAACCAGACGUGUUGCUGUAUUCUGGAUCAUCUGCAGAGGUUUGACCAUGCAUGCAGGGAGGCCAGCCAGUAAAGAGUUGCAGUAGUCAAUGUGUGCUAUUACGAGUUGUGCUGCAUGUUCAGACAGGAAGGGUCUGAUCCUCCUGAUGCUGUACAGGAUGGAGCAACGGAGGCCACAUGGGACAUUUACCUAUAAAAACAGGUGCAUUUUAUACUUUCCAAACACUUUUCAGUGACGAUUGCUGCAAAAACAGUGUUAACAUUUCCUGGUUGGUCAGAACUAUUUGGUUGUUUUGUUAAUUGGAGGUAGCGGUCUGUUUUUUAGAACUUCAGCCACUGAGGAAUGGUUCUAAAAAAA